AAUUCUCAACCUUUCGAGCUUUUUAUGAAAGCUAAGUUAGGCUUGGACUUUGGGAGUUUGCUGGCUCUUCUUCGAGUCUGCUCUUCUUAAAUAUAUUAGCAAGAUCAUCGCUAAAUCAUCUUUGAUAUGAUAAUUAUCUAUAUCAUUAAUGGUAACUGGCGUCUCCUUCACAGGAAAAGAUCAGGCUCAUAGCUGUCUCAGGACAAAUAUAUUUAUUUAAAUC
rnacentral:misc_RNA from 1 species